rnacentral:rRNA from 1 species
UUCCCGGGCCUUGUACACACCGCCCGUCACACCACGAAAGUCGGCAAUACCCGAAGCCGGUGGCCUAACCCGCAAGGGAGGGAGCCGUCUAAGGUAGGGUUGAUGAUUGGGGUG